UUCGUUUUCUUUUGUCGCCGAACCCGAGCUAUCCCCCGCAUCUCUUCCCUUUUCUCCCCGACGCCGCCGCACCCUCUCUGAGCCCUAACCGCCGGAGCACCAACCGCCUCUUCCACUCGUGCCUAAGCCGGACCAAGGGAGAAGCCGACCUUCUUCUUCUCUCUGUGUUCCUUCUCUCUGUGCUUCUGCCGACUCCGCCGAACCCCUCUCCUCUCUACGCCUUCUCCACCCGACAGCACCGCCGGGUGCUCUUCCUCCUCGCUGAGCAACUCGCCGCCGCCACCCCAGCCGACAGCCGGCUGCCUUUCUAGUGCCGACGCCCUCUCUUCAUGGACACCCGGAGCCGCCGGAAGUCGAGCAUCUGAACCCUAGGUUGGGUCCCUGUGCGCCGGCUAAAGCUUUCCCUGCCUCGUGUCUUUGAUCAUCCACUACACUCCUCCAGUGGAUUCUUCUCAGCCGAGCCUUACUCUCGAUUAGUUGGAAUUGGCCGAGCAGUGCUUUACACAGGGUCUCCUUGCUGCCACAUUUGAGAGAUCAGCGGCUCUAUUGUGGAUCCAAGCAUCACUGGUUGGGGAUGAUCCCCAGCUUCGGCACCAAGUUCCAACAACAAGAUCUAUGGUUGUGAGUUGACAGGAAGAUAUUUAGAUUUAGGUUGUAAGGGGAAUUGCUGAUUAGGGUACUUGUGUGGAGGAUUGCGGCUCUACCUAGCUCCGACCAACAUUUCCAGCGUCAACAGUGGCUUGGUAGUGAGGACUUUGACGCGAGACGAGCAUCUCGACGUCGUAUUCGGACCAGAUUGGAC